CAAGACCCUAUUUUCCGUCACACGGUUUGCCCAUUCCUAAAGCCACAAUUUAAUGUUCAUACCAAAAGAAAUCAUAUUCUCCCCGAGAAUUAAUUUCAACUAUAACUUACGCAUUUAAAAUAGAAGCGUCACAAUUUACACAAAUCCGUCUUCAUUAACUGUUUAGAAUUGGCUCUUCCAAGCAAUAAAGCAAGCACGAAAGUUCAAUGUACUAUAUUAUUUUUAAAUUAUAACGCAAUGAUUCAACCCAGAACAAUCAAUAAGAAAAGGUUACUGUUCUCAUCUGGAUUAUAUAUAAAUUAGCUAGUAACACGACCCUGACCCUCCCUUUCUAAUUUUUGUAACAAGAAUGAAAUAGGCACAUAAUUUACAUGAUCAUAAUAUUCCAAAUACAAUAUUUUACAAGGUGGCCAAAGAUAUGGGAUAUAUAUAAUUAGAGCUGUGAAUACAAUACCAAUCAUGGAUCCAACAAGUGUUGGACUGACACUAGCAGUAACAGUAGCAGACAUGCUUACACCGAUAGCACAUUGGCUUUGCAUAGACCCUCCUUGGAGUUCCAAUAAGCGACAGCAAAAGCAGGAUGAGUAGUACUAGUAUUGGUGUGAUCAAAGCUGACCAAUUCGUCUUCUUUUCUUCAACUACUACCACUUGUUCACGCGUAAAGAGCCAAGGUAUGCCAAGAAGCAUCAAGGCCACCGCCAACAUCACAAUAACAUCUGAUGUAUGAGUACUAUAAGCCUUGCGUUUAUAGCAAUAGUAACCCAUCCUCAAAAAUCUGGAAAGGAUUAAUUAUAGAGAGAUUCUUACACUGAUUAAGUGGAUCAAAGCAUAUAAUAGCAAGGAAAAGCCUUUGCUUCUAUGGAACUUUAUAGAACAAACCACUCAUCACAUCAAAUAUUAAUAUCCACCUCACAACAUUAGAUAGUUGCAUAGUUGUUCUCUCAACUUUUUCUAGUAAGCCAUCACAUUCAGCAAUAAUGGUUAUAACAGGCCCCAUGACGUGGUGUCAACUUGAUGGCCUAUGUGGCACGUGCUUAAGAUGGUGAUAUGAAGUACCCUUUUGGAAAU
rnacentral:lncRNA from 1 species